UCUUUUUAACUUUUUAUCCUUCUCUUAGGCUAGAUGUAAUUUACAUAUUAAAAGUGUGUAUAAUAUUUUAUGAGUAAGAUGAAAAUGCAGUACACUGUAAUUCUGACUAGUGUAACCAGGGUUCGAGUUAUAAUCUGAGCUUUGUGGGGGUCUCUAAAAUAACUAACGUUAGGGGCGGCGAUAAAUAAAUAAAUAAUGGGUGUGCUUUCUGAGAGAGAGAGAGAGAGAGAGAGAGAGAGAGAGAGAGAGAGAGAGAGAGAGAGAGAGAGAGAGAGAGAAAAUUGUAGAGCUGUAACACUAGCAGGUCAAUGUGUGUCCAAGUCUGUGGUGGUGGUCCCACAUUCAGCAGCAUCAGGUCUGGUAGCAGAGCUAGCAUCCUCCGUAGCAGCAAAGCUAGUGCUAGCCGUCAUGCUAGCAGGUGAAUUCCAGUUGUCUAAAGCUGUUUUUUGUUUCUUUGUGAAAAAACCAAAACUAGCCAGGCUUGUAGACCCCGUCGGCAGCAGCGGCCGUUUUUUCGGCGGCAUGGUAGCUAGUCUAUACUGCUAGCUAAUGUUGGCUGAUGCAUAUAGUGGCUUCUUCUUCCAAAUGGGUUUGAACGUUUGCAGCUUGCGUGCUCUCAACAGGAACCGGCAUAGUUUGCGCAAUAUUCUACUGCGCACCACGGUGGCUUGGUGGUGAAGUGCAGCCAUACUGUCAUUCACGAGAAUAUGGUCCUCAGCUGCAAGGUCUGCCGUGACAGCUGCCUCCAGAACAUCUCACCAUUCCAGUGGGAAAGUAACGUCACAACCUCCACAGACCCCUGCUCAGCAGACUGCAGAACCGCCCACAGUACCACCCAUAGAACCGCCCACAGAACCACGCACAGUACCGACCACUGUACUGCGCACGGUAUCGACCACAGAACUGCGCACGGUAUCGACCACAGAACUGCGCACGGUAUCGACCACAGAACAGCGCACGGUAUCGACCACAGAACAGCUCACGGUAUCGACCACAGAA